UACCGUAAAUCUAUACAAAUGUCAUUCGACUGCUUGUCGAAAUCUUUUUUGCCCCAGCCGGUAGGUCUCUAGACGUUACAAAGAACCCCGAACAACCCGAUCUGCUAAUCUCCGAUACCGCUUUAUACUCACGACUUUGUAUCCACUGACUGUCUUGUUAGAUUAAUCCAAUAAAUUUCAUUCACUCUGCAUACUCAAUCCUAUAGACACCCUUUUAAUUCUUCAUCACAGAUGUAACUCGAUUUCACAAAACAGUCAAGAGUAAUCACACCCACUUCAUUAAAAUCCCGAUUCACCAGUACAACACUGACUUCAGCAACGAUUGCCUUAGUCUUCCCAAAACCCUAUGAAGAAAAAAAACCCAAUUCUCUGUCUUUUUUCUCUGCCCCGAAGCAUGAAGAAGCUCCCCGACCCUUCUAAAAAACUUAUUCUCUCUCCCAUCAUUUCUUAACCUAUCCUCUCCUUUAACCCUAAUUCUCCCCUCUUUCAAAUCCUAGCC
rnacentral:lncRNA from 1 species